rnacentral:lncRNA from 1 species
GCCUCUCACAAAGGCUGAGCCCCGCCCCGCUGAGGCCUGUCUGCAGAAUCCACAGCAACCAGCACCAUGCCCAUGACACUGGGGUACUGGAACAUCCGCGGGCUGGCCCAUUCCAUCCGCCUGCUCCUGGAAUACACAGACUCAAGCUACGAGGAAAAAAAGUACACGAUGGGGGACGCUCCUGAUUAUGACAGAAGCCAGUGGCUGAAUGAAAAAUUCAAGCUGGGCCUGGAUUUUCCCAAUAUCCACAUGUUUCACUCAAGAUCCCAGAAAGAAAAUGUAUGAAAACACAUUAGAAGACAAUAAUCCAUCCUUACAAUGCUAGCCAAUGUUUAUUAUUGCUUUCUAUGUGUGAGGAAUUGUGUUAAACACUUAAAAAGAUGUUAUCCCUCAUAAUUAUCAUAACACCAGAAGAAGUAGGUGGGGUGAUUUUCUCCAAUUUAGAUAUUAUAGGAACUGAAACACUUGCCCACUAAACAGGCAAUUGAAAGAGGUAGGAUUUCUAUAGAAAAUUGCCAGCUCCACAGCUAGUGUUCCUAUUCUCAUCAUUAGUGUUCCCUUAGUGGUUUUGAUAUUACACCUAAUACUAUUUAAUACAAAAUUAAAGCAUCCACCCUAUUCUGGGAUUUACUGUCAAGAAUAGAGCACUGAGCCUGAUAAACAGUAUCCACUUUGGAAUGCAUGUUUCUAUCCAGCUACUUAAUAUGACAUAAGUUCAUUGGACAUUAAGGCCAGAUUUCUUGACAUGCUUUACCCUCAAAUUAACAAGUUUGGCUUAUUCAAUUGUGGACCUUUAACCCUUAGGCCAGAUAGUAUAUGAGGCCUAGAGUAGUGGAAAAAGGUAACUGGAUUUACAAAAUUUGACUCUUCAAAUUCUGUAAGAAUUCAAUAUAUUGAGGAAAGUUUAGGUGCAUAGUAAAAUUAUAAUUUCAUAUUGUUGCACAGACUCAGGCAGAUGAAAGAGACUCCAAUAGUGGUCAGGUAGUACCCAGACAGUCAGUUGAUUGUCUCUGUGCUGAAAGGAUUUAAGAAUGAAGAAGAGUUUCCUCCAAUGUAUGUUUCAAUAUCUCAUUGUUUUACAAUAAUAUUUGAAAUAAUACCUAGGAACCCAACUUACAAGGGAUGUGAAGGACCUAUUCAAGGAGAACUACAAACCACUGCUCAAGGAAAUAAAAGAGGACACAAACAAAUGGAAGAACAUUCCAUGCUCAUGGAUAGGAAGAAUCAAUAUCAUGAAAAUGGCCAUACUGCCCAAGGUAAUUUAUAGAUUCAAUGCCAUCCCCAUCAAGCUACCAAUGACUUUCUUUACAGAAUUGGAAAAAAACUACUUUAAAGUUCAUACGGAAACAAAAAAGAGCCCGCAUUGCCAAGUCAAUCCUGAGUGAAAAGAACAAAGCUGGAGGCAUCACGCUACCUGACUUCAAACUAGACUAUGAGGCUACAGUAACCAAAACAGCAUGGUACUUGUACCAAAACAGAGAUAUAGACCAAUGGAACAGAACAGAGCCCUCAGAAAUAACACCACACAUCUACAACCAUCUGACCUUUGACAAACCUGACAAAAGCAAGAAAUGGGGAAAGGAUUCCCUGUUUAAUAAAUGGUGCUGGGAAAACUGGCUAGCCAUAUGUAGAAAGCUGAAACUGGGUCCCUUCCUUACACCUUAUACAAAAAUUAAUUCAAGAUGGAUUAAAGACUUACAUGUUAGACCUAAAACCAUAAAAACCCUAGAAGAAAACCUAGGCAAUACCAUUCAGGACACAGGCAUGGCAAGGACUUCAUGUCUAAAACACUGAAAGGAAUGGCAAUAAAAGCCAAAAUUGACAAAUGGGAUCUAAUUAAACUAAAGAGCUCCUACACAGCAAAAGAAACUACCAUCAGAGUGAACAGGCAGCCUACAGAAUGGGAGAACAUUUUUGCAAUCUACUCAUCUGACAAAGGGCUAAUAUCCAGAAUCUACAAUGAACUCAAACAAAUUUACAAGAAAAAACAAACAACCCCAUCAACAAGUGGGAGAAGUAUAUGAACAGACACUUCUCAAAAGAAGACAUUUAUGCAGCCAACAGACACAUG